UUUCGGAUUAUUUCACCAAUUCGGUUCACUGUCUGUAUUUUUUUUUGUUGACAGAUCACCCAUAUUGAAGGAAAAAAAUCAAUUUCAAUAUUGUGGACACAAUAAUAUCCAGGAAACUGUCAGAGAUAAAAAAAUAGUGUAAAUGAAGAAAGAUUUUUUGUCACACAAAAGAACAACUGUUGAUUUAAAUGAUAACAUUUAAAUUCCGCUAAAAGUCACUAGGAAACAUUAGAAUCCUCUAUGAAUUAUUCCAAAAUGCACAAGUUUGAUAUAUUCCUGAAAUAUUUAAAAUUACAUUUAACAAAUAAAUAUUUUAGCAUUUUAUUAAUAAAAUUCACUAAAGAUUAAUUCGAUUCACGAUAUAUUAUGAACUUGAUUAUCUUGUAACUGCGAUAUCCAAGAUGAAUAAAUAAUUCUAUACUAUUUAAUCAUCAUAUCUGUUAAUCUUCAUAUUCCGUUGGUUAAUCUCGACUACUAUAUUAAUCAUUCGCACAUUUUCACAUUCUCACGAAUUCUCGAAAAAAGACACUCGAAAUCAAGCAAUUUACGAUAUUCGAUACUCCUGAUAUUGAAGGAAACCAGAGUUUAUUUUAUUGCGAGGCUUCACGUUUCCAACUUUAUCACUUUCCAAGUGUUAUAAUUCAUUGGACUUGAACAGCUGCAGAAACAGAUACAUAUCCAGCGACACGAUCAUUAAGCAAGCUGGUAAAUUAGAAAGCAUGUAGCGCCACCAUUUUGGAGGUUAGUUCUUGUUUUGUCAUUUGUGGAACACGUAGCGCCGUUCUCGAACUUGUGUCACACCGCAGUUUAAAUCACGGGAUGUGGAUUAGCAUAACGAGUAAGCACGGCGCAUAAUGCACAAUGAUAAUUUGCGUUCAACUUCCCGUGCAAUUUAGAUAUCAGAUUGCUAAAGGGGCGUUCUAUUAAACUGGACACAGGAAAUAUCACCUGAUAGAUGAUGAAAAAGUAGAUUUACGAGAUGGCUUGCUGUAUUGUAUGAUGCAUAAUAAUGAGGUUAUGUUGAAAUUGCUCGAUAUUCGAUCAUUUAUCUUCAAAUCUGAUCAAUUCGUAAAUUCACGAAAAUAAGUAUUCUAUAAUAACGUUUUCAAUGCCUAAAAAGUUACUAAAGAGUUCUAUAAAUUUUUUCAAAACGUAAAAUUUGAUAUUCUAUAUCCAAAAAAAAUUUGCAGUACAUAUUUAAUUAUUUGUAUAAUGUAUAAUAUUUAAAUUGCAAUUUUUGAAAUAUAACUUUAAAAUCUGUACAUCUUUUGAAACUUGAAGAUAUUUAAUGCUUUAAUGUGUUAAAUCGAAAGAAUCGUUUAUGUAUAUUUUUAAAAUCACACGUGUAUUAUCUUGGGAAACGAUGGAUCGAAUCGAUAUUAUUCAUUGCAUGACUCAAACUUCUUUUAUAUUAUGUUUUUCAUAUCAAUCCAAGUAUGACGAACAACAGAGACCAACCGUGGAAUCGACUGAAUAAAUUUUAAUUUUCCAACCCGCCAGCUUAUUCACGUACGUAGAUAACAAAGUUAAAUUAACUAGGCAGCCAUUCUUCCACGUAUUCACGAUUGUUUCUCUUGUAUAUUAGUUCUUUCAAAGUUAAUCAUUCUUUUGUUUAAUUAUUCGUAAUGAAUCGACAAUAAAAUGAAAUAUCAUUCUUUGUCCAAGCUUCUUUGUACCACAUUUUUCGUUCAAAUAUAUAUUGUAACUUUUCCUUUGCCUUAUUCAUGAAUCAAUUUCGUAUUUUAAAGUGACGUUGAAUCAGCAGCACCGUGCUAUGACAGGUUGGAACUUCUUUGGGUUAUUCGCAAUGUUGUAAUGUUGUUGGACGGAUGUUUGGUGCAGCAGGUAACGAGAUCAACAGGAUAACAACAUGCGACAUGUUUGAUCAUUACUAUCGAAAAAGGAUAUUUCCAGUGAAACGGGAAAUUCUAAUUCUAAAAUAAUUUUUCCAUUUUCCAUUAUUAUAAAAAAAAUUCAUUUAAUUUAACAUCUCAAUCCUAUUAUCUUUAAUAAAUAUCGAUAUUUUAUAUUUGCAGAAUUAUAUACGUUUCCAGAUUUAUAUUGCUGUAUAUACUGUCGCGAUAACAUAAUGCCUCAGCCAUGGGAGGUGUUCGAGUGGCCCUAAGAGCUUUGGGAUUCGGGGCCACCGUAAAUGAUAUUCGUUUCAGAAUAUCAAACUGGUGUGUAACAUUCGUGCCAAGAGAAUUACUCGAGUAUUCUUAAUAACAGAAAACAAUGGUUAAUAACGAAACAUUGGGAUCAGGAUAUAUUUUAAUUAAUAACCUGUGAUCGACAUAUGGUAACCGAUAACUGUAUCGAAUAGAAAAAUAAAAUUUAUGGAUAUUCUUUGAAUUAUAAAUUCUUUGAAAUUUAAAAAUGGAAAUAUCAACUAAAGAUUUCUUCCUUUGCAACAAUUUUCCACGAUAUGAAAGAAGAUGGAAAGGGAUGAUCGAUACGUAAGAUCCAAUGCAAAUCUAAUACAACAUCGAACAGAUAGGGGGAUUACAAUUAAGCCGAAUUACAAAUGCCACAAACCUAUUGAAAUUUUGAAAAGAGAGGAUCGAAACUAAUAACGUUGAAACCAGAGUUUUGGAAUUUUUUAGAGAGAAAUCGUUACGCGAUUCUUGUUAUUAUUUUUCGAUGAAGAAAUGAAAAGAAAAAUUCCACGAUAAUAAAAUUGAACAAUGAGAAGGAAAGGAGUUGAAUUAAUGCCUAAUGGGGAGCACGAUUGUCGUGUGAUUAAAAUAUAAAUGGGAAAAGGUCAACAGUGCGCGCAGGAUUUGUAUUGUGUUUCGCGUAAAUGAAAACGAAUAAUUCAUUAACGUUCACAACA
rnacentral:lncRNA from 1 species